rfam:Daphnia pulex DAPPTscaffold_4122_Cont15388, whole genome shotgun sequence.
GGGGAUGUAGCACAGAUGGUAGAGCGCUCGCUUAGCAUGCGAGAAGUACGGGGAUCGAUACCCUGCAUCUCCA